GCCUACGCCGCUUCCCUCCCGCUGGAAGAGGCACCGGCAGCCGGACCACAGCCGAAAGAAAGAAAUGCAACUUGAGCUGGUUGAAAAUGGCCCAUCAGCAGGACCAUCACUGGACCAGCAGCAUAAAGCCAUGUCUUCAGGACAAGGGGGAACGUUUAAAAUUAGGGAGGCCCUCGAGAAAACACCGGAGAGUAGAGAGAUAAUGUGCAGUCUUGACACCAAACGGUGCAUCUCGCUCAAGCAGAGGAGGUCUAUGGUUAGAAUCCUAGUGUCACAUCUCAUGGAGCGGUUCGGAGAGACUCCAGCAUUGGAAACAAGGAAAACCUGGCCUCAUCUUUAGUGACGGAAUUUCCGUAUCUAAGGGAUCAGCAUGGGAACGGCAAUGAGGCGUGGUAUAGUCCAGGUCGAACUCACAGACCAGCAACUGGCUUCGUUGAAGAGCGUUUAAGAAAUGUACGGAAGAGGCUCCGUAGUGGAAAGUGCAGACCUAGCCCUGUGGAGAACCCUGUAACUAAUUGGUAUUGCCAGAGACUGAAAUAUCUGAUGAGAGGGCAGUGGCGAUGACGGAGUGGUUAAGAAAUAACAUCCGACCCCUUAACCAAGUAGAAGAAUACAUGAAGCAGACAGCCAUCCACAGAGCUAAGCGGAUAAGGGAGCAUGGGUCAAAGACAGUGGAGGAGGUCAAAAAAGAGCAUCCACGUCUUUUGGAUACUCCAGGAAUGAUUGCUCAGGACUUUGCCAUUCUACACCCAGCCUGUGCUGGGAAACUUGGAUAACUGGCAGAAAAGUGGAUGCCCGUUUUCAGAGACAGAAAUUUAUGGUUUGCUAGCCAGGAGAAGCAAGCUUCUGGAAUUCUUUCAAGACUGGAUUCUGUGUGUGCAGAUGCGCAAGGUGACAGGGCUGUGAGAUUAUUGCCAGUAGUCCUACCAGCUUCUGUCUAUAGGAUUCUGCCGGAAGACCUUCCGUCUGAGCUGUGAAGAGACAAGAAAGUCAUUCAUUGAUCUACAGCCUACGGAAAAAACCUGAGCUCGCUGCGGAAAUUCCUGAGCGGUACCGUGUGACGUCACUGGUGGACAACAGUGAACAGCGCCGCAGUACAACAGCAUUAUGACUGACUGGGACUGAGGAUUUUCCAGCGCUGGUUCUUCAGAUUCUGAUGAUAAUUUGAAAGAGCUGUAAUGUAGAAAUAGACCACCUUAUCACUUAGUCCUGAGACUUUUAGUCAAACCACACCCACAAAAGCAGCUCAUCCUGAGUGUAAACAGUAUCAUGACAACAGCCUAGCAACCAGCUAAACUCAAAUAUAGAGGUACAGUUAUUGUCGUAAAAUUUGCUGGUUUGCUUACACCUCCAUAUUGUUGGAACAGCGCCAGUUUUAAGAUCCAGUUGAAAAAAGUCACAUUUUAUUAGCAGUCUACCUCAAUUUAACAGCAUUUUUAACUGUUUCUCACUAUGCUGAGGUUUUUAUUUUUCUGUUGGGGGUGUCCCAAUGAUGUGUGUUUUAAGGCGUUCUUUGUAUUUGAUAUAAACUACCCCCGACAGUGUUCUUCAGACUGUUGUUUAUGAGCUACCAGGUCAUGAAUCUCCCUCCAUAAGACUCUUGCGGGCAUUUAUUUUUGCCACAGAUCAGUGACAGCUCCCAGAAUGACGCCAUGUGUGUUACCUCUUUUUAUUUUAUUAAUUUCUCAAGCAAAAGAAAAUUUGUUAUUGAAUAAGGUUGCUUGUAAUUGUUGUUGCUGCUGUUAUUGUUAUUAUUGUUGUCAUUGAGAAAUGUGCUUUUAUAUUUAUUUUAUAUAUAUAUGCUCACUAUGCUGAGGUUUUUAUUUUUCUGUUGGGGGUGUCCCAUGUCAAGACAACUAAUUGAAUUCAUAUCGAUUUGUUGUAGCAGUUGUAAACAAUAUCAAAUGCAUGCAUAUAAAAAGAAAUGCAUCACUAAAAGGUGUCACAUUAAAAGCUAAGAAGCAGUACUGUAGUAUUCAGUAGACUAACAGGUUUCUCUCUAGACUAAAUUCUAUGGUUGUUACAUAUGCAAACAUUGGAUGUCAGCUGAUGCUCAGUGUUACAAUAAUCAGUUUCAAAUUGAAGGACAGAAAGCUUAGAUCAGGACAUCCCUGUUCAAAGUGGAUUAUUUCAGCAUGUUAGAAUUAAGGUGUAAAAUUAAAGUACUAAUUCUAUGUUUCAAUUUUCAUGUUUACAACAGAUUGGGACUAAUAUGGUGGAAUACGUGUCCGAGGCCACAAGACCAUACCCAUUCGUUUUGGCUCUAGGUGCGUACCAACAUACCAGUGUGUAGUAUUUCCAUGUACAAUGCCGGUUUCAUGUGUGUUGGUUUUUGUUUUUGACUUUUAUUUAUAAUCAUUU